rnacentral:misc_RNA from 1 species
AACCAUAGAAACCUGCGGAGUACCUGCGGAAGGAUCAUUACAGAGUUGCAAAACUCCCUAAACCAUUGUGAACGUUACCUAAACCGUUGCUUCGGCGGGCGGCCCGGGUCCUUCCCGGCGCCCCUCGGCCCUCGCGGGCGCCCGCCGGAGGUAAACCAAACUAUUGCAUUGUAUGGCCUCUCUGAGUCCUCUGUACUGAAUAAGUCAAAACUUUUAACAACGGAUCUCAGAUCGGAAGAG